GACGAACGCUGGCGGCGUGCUUAACACAUGCAAGUCGAACGGAAAGGCCCUGCUUGCAGGGUACUCGAGUGGCGAACGGGUGAGUAACACGUGGGUGAUCUGCCCUGCACUUCGGGAUAAGCCUGGGAAACUGGGUCUAAUACCGGAUAGGAGCCAUUUUUAGUGUGAUGGUUGGAAAGUUUUUUCGGUGUAGGAUGAGCUCGCGGCCUAUCAGCUUGUUGGUGGGGUAAUGGCCUACCAAGGCGGCGACGGGUAGCCGGCCUGAGAGGGUGGACGGCCACAUUGGGACUGAGAUACGGCCCAGACUCCUACGGGAGGCAGCAGUGGGGAAUAUUGCACAAAGGGCGCAAGCCUGAUGUAGCGACGCCGCGUGGGGGAUGACGGCCUUCGGGUUGUAAACUCCUUUCGCUAGGGACGAAGCUUUUUGUGACGGUACCUAGAUAAGAAGCACCGGCUAACUACGUG
rnacentral:rRNA from 1 species